UCGUUCGAGUGAGCGUUCUGACCUCUUCGUUCUCGAGUUUCAGUGAUGCCAGGCGGGUCUGCAGCUGCGUGAGGCGCAAGGUGAGCUCCGCCUGCACCUGCGGCUGGGAGGCGAUCUGGCUCACCUGCCGGCAAGACCGCCCGCCGCAAACGAGCGCGUCAGACGACUCGACGCGACGGCAUCGCCGGCGUUUUGGACCCACCGUGUCGCCCAUGUGGGCCUGGAAGCCGAAGCGGGGCGGCGGGCAGAAUGCGGUGGGGUAGAGGCCCAGCAGGCGCUGGCGGUCGCGGGCGGGGUCCAGACCCUCCACGGCGCCCUCCAGCACCUCCAGACCGGCGCGCCUGGACGCCUCCAGGCCGAGUUCGGCCGACAGUGGCGGACUGCGAGAUGUGAGCCUUUUUCCUGACGCCGUGGACAAGCCGAGGCAAAAGACGCUGCUGGAUUGUCAUUUUGUGGUGUGUGUGUGUGUGUGUGUGUGUGUUUUUGAAUAUAUGUCGUUUCCGUGAAGAAGAUGCCACAAUAAAAACAAAAGGUCCAGUUUGAUGUUCGAAGAAAUAGUCUUGAAAUAAUGCUCUUGAUUAAUUUGAUGUCACAGCAUGUUGUGAAGGUUAACGUUGGUAAAUGCUGCCCUCUAGUGGGGAAAGGAAGCCUUGGCGAGAGAAUGGAACAAAAUAAAAGAGAACGAGCGCUCGGUGAAACCAA